AGGGAAAUGUUUAUUCAUCAGAUCAGCAUAAUGAGAACAGCUCUGAAAACCAGGCUCCCUCAGGGCUAACCUGUGCAGUCUGCAGGUCGACCUACAACGCGCACGAUCGUCGUCCGCUUAUCUUCUCCAGCUGCGGCCACACCUUCUGCGAGGAAUGCCUUAGGACGGAGAACCGCAAGAGUGUGUUCCAGUGCCCUUCUUGCCGGCAGGACCGCGACCAGUUCCGGACGCUGAAGCCUAACUUCGCGCUGCUCGACCUGCUCGAAGCGCUCCAGACAAGCGAGUAAGAGGCAGCAGAUUAUUAUGAUACAGAGUAAACGCGCUGCAGCAUCAUGAAGGAGAAUUGAAGCCCUAAACACAAACACACACAAUGUUUGUGGAAACCUCACGUUGGCAGUGUGAUUAUGCGGUAUCCGUGAAUUGUGGUCACCUACAUUUAUAUAUGAAGUACAGCUUAUUAAGUGAUUAUGUAUAGUUUAUUAGUGUAUAAUAUUCAUGGGAAAUAUUAUGCAGGCACAUCACAUUUAUUUACUCAGUUGAUUUUCAAAGAAUCUAAAUGGAUUCUGACUUUUUGUCAUCCAUACAUAUGGUCAUUGACUGUCCCAAAACCUAAAGAUAGUCCCUGUUAACAAAACUAAAAAGGUUUCACAGAUAAAACUCGAUUGCAAUAUCUCUUUAGGCUGUAAGAAAAGGGAAAAUCUUGCAAUUGGAGCACCAAGAGAAAUCUGGAAGAAAGGGUGUUGCAUUAACAUUAAUUUCUACACCUGAACCAUCGGCUUUAGGUCCAACAUCAAUAAGUUUCAGAGCCAGCACCAGCCUCUCCAUCAGGCAAAGCUGAGGCCUGUUGCGGAUGCUGUUGCAGAAGACUGACCUGAUGAGAUGAGAUACUUAUAUGAACAUGAACAACGAAGGUCAUUGGCUCUGCUAAAAACCCACAGGGACUAAAUUACUGGUAUUACCUUUAGCAUUAUUAACAUUAUUAUUAACAUUAAGAAGUAGGAAAUGAAUAUUUUUUUAAUUAUUAAUAUAUGUGUAGUUUUGAUAAGCUACUUAGUGCAGUCUUCCUUGCCUUUUCCAGGAUUUUUAAACAGUCUUGUAGAGCAGCAGUUUCACAUGAAAAUUAUAACUCUCUCUCUCUCUCUCUCUCUCUCUCUCUCUCUCUCUCUCUCUCUCUCUCUCUCUCUCUCUCU